GACGAACGCUGGCGGCGUGCUUAACACAUGCAAGUCGAACGGAAAGGCCCUGCUUGCGGGGUGCUCGCGUGGCGAACGGGUGAGUAACACGUGGGUGAUCUGCCCCUUACUUUUUGAUAAGCCUUGGAAACUGGGUCUAAUACUGGAUAUGACCAUGCUGUCGGCGUUGUGGUGGAAAGAUUAUUUUCGGUGAGGGAUGAGGUCGCGGCGUAUCAGCUUGUUGGUGGGGUAUUGGCCUAUCAAGGCGUCUACGCGUAGUAGGCGUGAGGGGGUGGGCGGCGACAUCGGGACUGAGAGAAGGCGCCGAAGACUACGGGGGGCAGCAGUGGGGAAGAAUGUACAAUGGGGGGAAGCAGGAUGAAGCGACGACGCGGGGGGGAUGAUGGCCUUCGGGUGGUAAACUACCGCUAGCGAUGACGAAGAACUGGUGGUGACGGUAGUGGUAGAAGAAGCACCGGCUAACUACGUG
rnacentral:rRNA from 1 species